UCCCUAAUAAGUAUAACCUGGGCUAGAGUUUUAUAAGUACACAUGUAAGUGCGUAAGCUGUGCCGUUGCUAUCGGAGCUCGAAUACCGGAAAGUCAAAUAUACAUAUAAUAUAUUUCAAAAACGUUCAUCUCUCGUACUCUGUAAUAUAAUACAAGUUUCAAUUUAUGCCAUCGCGGUAAGAAACUGAGCGGCCGAGACUCCAGCAAAGGCGGUACACCUUAAGGUGCUCUGAAGCAAUACGAGCCCAAAGGUUCUAUAAGGGUGGUGGUAAGGGAAGGUGCAAUCACCAACUACAAUACACAAUCGAGAUCCAGCAUAAAAAGUUGCGAAUAUAAAACAAAAGUGUCACUCGCCGUGGGUCUGGAGGUACCAGACGAUGUCCGAGGCUGAGCUUGCAUUGUUAUUCCCCUUUGUCGCUGGCUUUGCUUGUGUUGAUUUGUUUUUAGAAGUAUUUAUGCAUGUAUGUGAAUAAAUGUAUGUAUAUGUGGCCAUUUGA